rnacentral:rRNA from 1 species
UACGUAGGGUCCGAGCGUUAAUCGGAAUUACUGGGCGUAAAGCGCGCGUAGGCGGGUUGGUAAGUCCGCUGUGAAAGCCCGGAGCUCAACUCCGGAGGGUCGGUGGAUACUGCCAGUCUUGAAGGUGCUAGGGGGAGAUGGAAUUACCGGUGUAGCGGUGAAAUGCGUAGAUAUCGGUAGGAACACCAGUGGCGAAGGCGGUCUCCUGGGGCAUUCUUGACGCUGAGGCGCGAAAGCUGGGGGAGCGAACGGG